CCAUGCUAGGUGGGGGUUAGCGGUCCCCGUUAUCCUCAAUCCGCUAUAGGGGAGCCAUAUACCUGCCGAGGAUUUGGUUGCUUGGGACUGUACUUGGGUAAGUGGCGUUGACGGCUGAGUCCUCUGCGGCACAAGUUUACCAACCCCGUCAGGCCCGGAAGGGAGCAGCGGUAAGUAAACCUCUGUGGGUGUCAGAGGGUAGCUUGACCCGAGCUAACUGCCUAAGUAACGCCAGGCAACCGAUUUCGAAGCAGGUUGCAUGG
rnacentral:SRP_RNA from 1 species